GUGGGCCAGUUUAAAGUAAGAAAAGAAAAUAAAAACAAAGAACAGUGAUAGAUAAAACAAAGGAAAUAAAAAUAUAUAUAAGGAGUGGAAAUUUUAAUUUAUAUGGGCCAAGCCUUUUUGGGCUUCAUGUCCAUGUGAAUAAAAUACUAGUGAAGAUUAAAUUAGGCCAAGUAAGGGCAAAUCUAUUGGGCUUCUGGCCCAAGAUCUAAGAAAAUAGAAUGUCUACUCACGUGGGAGAUGAAUAAUUAAUGGGAUGAGGGAAUAAAGGUUAGGAUAAU
rnacentral:lncRNA from 1 species